rnacentral:rRNA from 1 species
UACGUAGGUGGCAAGCGUUGUCCGGAUUUAUUGGGCGUAAAGAGCGUGUAGGCGGCCAAGCAGGUCCGCUGUGAAAAACUCGAGGCUCAACCUCGAGACGUCGGUGGAAACCGUUUGGCUAGAGUCCGGAAGAGGAGAGUGGAAUUCCCGGUGUAGCGGUGAAAAUGCGCAGAUAUCGGGAAGAACACCCGUGGCGAAGGCGGCUCUCUGGGACGGUACUGACGCUGAGACGCGAAAGCGUGGGGAGCGAACAGG